rnacentral:rRNA from 1 species
AGGAUCUUUGGCAAUGAGCGCAAGCUUGACCAAGCGACGCCGCGUGUGCGAUGAAGGCCUUCGGGUUGUAAAGCACUGUCGAGGGGGAGGAAGCCGCAAGGUUGACCUAUCCCUGGAGGAAGCACGGGCUAAGUUCGUGCCAGCAGCCGCGGUAAGACGAACCGUGCGAACGUUGUUCGGAAUCACUGGGCUUAAAGGGCGCGUAGGCGGGUUCACAAGUCUGUGGUGAAAUCCUCCAGCUUAACUGGAGAAGUGCCGUGGAUACUGUGAGUCUCGAGGAGGGUAGGGGCAUCUGGAACUGCCGGUGGAGCGGUGAAAUGCGUUGAUAUCGGCAGGAACUCCGGUGGCGAAGGCGAGAUGCUGGAUCCUUUCUGACGCUGAGGCGCGAAAGCCAGGGGAGCAAAC